rnacentral:tRNA from 1 species
GGCCUCGUAGCUCAGCUGGUAGAGCACUCCUGGUAACUAAGCGAGGAUGGUGACCAUGUGUGGAUUUGAAUCCCGCCAGGGCCA